GCUCCAAAUUUAAACAUUUUUCAACGCAUCCUAUCACAACCUUUGAUAGAAGAUAUCUCAAAAUUUCCAACCCUUGAAAUAAAGUCCAAAAUUAAAAUACAAAAGGGAAAGCUCAUUUUUGUUCACGUUCCACAAUCAGAAAAUUCUCUCAAAAUCGGAGCUCAUCUCAGAAAAUUCUCUCAAAAUCGAUCUGAGCUCAUCUCAGGAAACUCAAAGAUCGGAGCUCAUCUCAUCUCCGACGGGUUGAUUUGCGGUGGUCAGCUAUCUCAUCUCCGACGACAAGCGAGCCGUUGAUCGACUGAGCACUCUUCGCCACCCCAUUUUCCGAUUACAGGUCUGUCUUUCUCUGUUUGUUUCCCGACAAAUUAUGGAAAUUACAUAGCAGAACUAUCCAAACAAUUUUUGAUUAUUUAUGGUAGAUAAUGAAGAUCAAUCUCAAAGAGAAAACCCUAUUAGGAAGGUCAAGGAUUUAGCUGAGGAACAAAAUGAGCAUAACCUCUACGCAUUCACUCCCAAAGGAAAUUGAGGAAGAUAAUGCCUCUCAAAAUAUCAUAUAUGCUCGCGAUGGUUUUCUUAGCUGAUCCAAAUGAUAUCUUCUUGACAGAUGGAGCAAACCCAGCUGUCCAUAUGAUGAUGCAAUUACUGGUAAGAUCAGAAAAUGAUGGAAUUCUUUGUCCCAUUCCUCAGUACCCUUUACACUCUGCUUCAAUUGAUCUCCAUGGUGGCACACUGGUUCCUUACUAUCUCAAUGAAGCAACAGGAUGGGGAUUGUAAGUCUCUUCACUUAAGAAGCAAUUGGAGGUUGCCAAGUCCCAAGGCAUCAUAGUUAGGGCUUUAAAUGUUAUAAAUCCCAGAAACCAAACGGCCAGGUUCUUGUGAGGAGAACCAGCGUGACAUUGUGGAAUUCUGCAGGAAAGAUCUUGUGCUACUGGCAAAUGAGGUUGGUAAAUUCUUAUUAGCAAAAGAUGUUGAAACAUCAUGCAACUCUAGUAACAAAUAGAGAUUUGAGUACUUGUAGGGAACUAAAUUUGGUUUUGUUUGCUCUUUAUUGACUCCCUUUGCUUGCUUGGAGCCCUACCAAAUAGAUCUGAUUUGAUUUGCUAUGUUAAAGUUACAACUUAUGUCCAAUGAACUUUAUACAGGUAUAUCAGGAAAAUGUUAAUUGUGAAUAGAUCAUGUGUAAUGUACUUGAGCUGAUUUUUGUGGAAUUUGAAAUUUGGAUUAAGUGUCAGGUGUUAAUACCAUGUUCUAUUACUUGGAGAUUUAAACUGGAUAAUAAGGUGUUCACUUGUUUGUAAACUUGGUUCAAAGCCAUUAUGAUCUACUUAACAGCUGUGAAAUUAUUAUUUUCUAAUUGAAUCAUUUGUCUUUAAGAUCAACAAGACUAUUCUGGUGCUCAUACGUAUGAAAGGAUUGAUGUGGAGGGAUCUUUCCAUACUGAAUGGUUCAAGCUUGCCAAACAGUGUAAUAUAAGUUUUGGAGGUAUUCCACUUGAAUGAAACUCAAAAUAAUCCUAAUAAAUUUCUGCCCAAGACUCUGCUGGGCAGAGCUGACACCACCUCUGCCUGUUGAAAUGUAUCUCAAUUAUUACAUACUCCGAUUAAACACCCCAGCUCUUGCGCAGUUUUAUUUCGGUGGUCUUUUGGCCAAGGAUGUUACGGUGGAAAACCUCCCCAACUUGGUUAAAUCAGGUCUUAAAUUUGAGGAGAUAGAAAAUGAUGUGAGUACUCGAGAUUAUAUAAAAAGGAUAUGGGACUUCACGGGAUCACUCUAUAACAUUGAAUUGAUGGAAUUCAGCAUAGAAACUGCAGAGGUAUGGACAUGUUACGUUUUUCAUGCUCUAACUCUCUUAUCAUUAAUUAAAUUGCUCAAUGCUACUUAAUAAUAUUUGACUUCCUUGACGUUUGGUGGUUGUAUUAGGUCUUGUUAUUAUAUGUGGGCUGCAGUGCAAUUCUUGUUUUGUCAGGCUCCAAAGGUACAAACACUUGUCUUUGAAUUGACAUUCCUAGGUAGCCAUGAUGGUUACCCACCUGAAAAUCGCUUGGAAGAUCGCUUGGAGAAGUGGCUUUACGUUCCUGAAUGUUUGUCAUCACAUCUUACAGUCUGUUAUAAUAAGGAAUUUUCAGGGCAUGAAGUUGAGAUGAACUUGUUCGACAAGUCUUGAAGGAAGCAAAUAUAUUAGAGACAAUGAAAAUCACUUUUGAAAGUUGUCUAGACUCAGAGAUAAAGCUUUGUGCUCGCAAGAAAUUAAGAAAGCUUCAAAGGAGGUAUCCUACUUGUCAAUUUGAAUUUGACGAAGGACAAGUUGAUUUUUAAGUUCUCUUUCUUAAUUUGUGAGAAGCAAUAGCUUUAUGGGAAUGGCCAUUGGUCUUUGCAUCUUUCAUUUUAGUUUGGAAAUGUGUAUUUUGUCCAUUGGUUUGUUUAGUGCAGCUAUUUGCCCUAUGUUUGUGUUUUUGUUGAGGAGGUCAUUUGGACUUUUUAUAGCAGCUUUGGUUGUGUUUUGUGCAGCCACUAGGCUGAUUUGGGUGUUGUAUGGCUACUGGCCUUUUGUUCCUGCACAAAGUAGUUUGUUUUCUUGUGCAUGAUUUAAAUUCUUGUAUUUUGAA